UACGUAGGGUGCAAGCGUUGUCCGGAAUUAUUGGGCGUAAAGAGCUCGUAGGCGGCGCGGCGCGUCGGCCGUGAAAACCUGCAGCUUAACUGUGGGCUUGCGGUCGAUACGGGCAUCACUGGAGUUCGGCAGGGGAGACUGGAAUUCCUGGUGUAGCGGUGAAAUGCGCAGAUAUCAGGAGGAACACCGGUGGCGAAGGCGGGUCUCUGGGCCGAUACUGACGCUGAGGAGCGAAAGCGUGGGGAGCGAACAGG
rnacentral:rRNA from 1 species